UCCAAAAUAUGAAUUUUUUGGAUUUGAACACAUUCUAUUCUAUUCAUUCUUAAUUUAUCUGUCUGCACCGUAAAAUUUUGAAGAUUUUGCCAUUAUAAUUGCAAUUUUAGAACAUGACAGUUGGAAUCAACAAUGAAAUUCCCAAAUGUAUAAUACCAUCAGAAGAACAUUGCCUGAAGAUGGUCUUUGACACCCUCUGCUAAACAUUGGACAACAAUGUGGACUGGAAUUUCUUUAGAGACACGUACGGAGUUGCUCAUAUUAAACAAUUAAAUCAUGAGAUUACUCUGACGCAGUGGCCCUCACAAUCACCAGACUGCAAUCCUGUUAAACACAUCUGGGACACAUUUACACUCAAAAUCUGGAGGAGCUUGCUAUUUCUCUUAGAGAUAAAUGGCGAACUAUGAAUCAAGAAUUUAUUCUUUCGCAAAUUUUAACUAUCCUAAGAAGAAUGGAAGCUCUUUGUAGUUCAAGGAAGAUUCAUCAAGGAUAAAUUGGAUAAAUGUAGCAGUUAAUUUAAUUAAUUUUGCAUUUUCAAUUCCCCAAGGAAUUUAACGACUCUAGUAUAAUUAGUGGUUUAAAAGUUCUCUUGUUGACGCAAUUUUGUUUAAUUUAUGUUCAUUAAAACUUAAUUUGAUGAUGUAUUUGUUGCAAUUUAUUGAAAUAAUUCAAAGUAUUCACUUUUAGAGUCGUACUGUAUUUUGAUUGUAAAUUAUCUAACAGCAUUUUGCCACCUUAAAAAGGAUAUUUAACUUGGGAAUGGUUUUAAAUAAAACAUCAUUUGGCAUUUAUACAAUUUAUUAUAAUACAGGCUUCAAACAAACAAUAUGCGUAGCAUAACACAUCAGUCUUUACACUUCAAAAGCAAUGAAUAGCAAUUUAUAAUAUACGUUUCUCAGCUUAUCAAUUAAUUAAUGAUUAUACAUUUUUUUUUU